CCAGCUUGCUCAUCAAGUCCAAGAACCAACCUACCUUUUGCAAUCUCAAUUCAAUGGCGUCCUCUCUCAUUGCGAAGCGCUUCCUCUCCUCUUCCCUCCUCUCCAGGUCCCUCCUUCGCCCCGCCGCUUCCGCUUCCCACCGCUCUUUCAACACCAACGCCAUGCGCCAGUAUGACAACCGCGCCGACGACCACAGCACCGACAUCGAUCGUCACUCCGAACGCUCUUUCCCUAGCACUGCGCGCCGCGACGAUAUCUUCUCAGGUAGUUGUAGUCGCUCUCUCCCUAACCUCGCACUAACCGAUUCUCUUAAUUCUUCUAUUUUUUAUGUAGUUUAGUUGAUUCAAUCGUGGUUUUAAAUUGCGUUGCCGCAAUUGUCCAAAUCUAUAAAAAAUUUAUGGCUCACCGAAAGUGCAAUCGCAAUUUAACACCACGGAUUCAAUAAAUAUCAUUACUUAAACGUUUUGUUUUAUUCGAUUCUAGCUAACCUUGCACUAAACGGAUCUCUUCAAUUAUUUCUUUCCGCGGUUUUGGUGAUUCU
rnacentral:lncRNA from 1 species